rnacentral:rRNA from 1 species
CCUACGGGGGGCAGCAGUAGGGAAUCUUCCGCAAUGGACGAAAGUCUGACGGAGCAACGCCGCGUGUGUGAAGAAGGUUUUCGGAUCGUAAAGCACUGUUGUUAGAGAAGAACAAGGAUAAGAGUCACUGCUUGUCCCUUGACGGUAUCUAACCAGAAAGCCACGGCUAACUACGUGCCAGCAGCCGCGGUAAUACGUAGGUGGCAAGCGUUGUCCGGAAUUAUUGGGCGUAAAGCGCGCGCAGGCGGUCUUUUAAGUUGGGUGUGAAAGCCCUCGGCUCAACCGAGGAGGGUCACUCAAAACUGGGAGACUGGAGUGCAGAAGAGGAGAGUGGAAUUCCAUGUGUAGCGGUGAAAUGCGUAGAUAUAUGGAGGAACACCAGUGGCGAAGGCGGCUCUCU